AGUGAACGCUGGCGGUAGGCCUAACACAUGCAAGUCGAACGGCAGCACAGUAAGAGCUUGCUCUUACGGGUGGCGAGUGGCGGACGGGUGAGGAAUACAUCGGAAUCUACUUUUUCGUGGGGGAUAACGUAGGGAAACUUACGCUAAUACCGCAUACGACCUACGGGUGAAAGCAGGGGAUCUUCGGACCUUGCGCGAUUGAAUGAGCCGAUGUCGGAUUAGCUAGUUCGCGGGGUAAAGGCCCACCAAGGCGACGAUCCGUAGCUGGUCUGAGAGGAUGAUCAGCCACACUGGAACUGAGACACGGUCCAGACUCCUACGGGAGGCAGCAGUGGGGAAUAUUGGACAAUGGGCGAAAGCCUGAUCCAGCCAUACCGCGUGGGUGAAGAAGGCCUUCGGGUUGUAAAGCCCUUUUGUUGGGAAAGAAAAGCAGCAGGUUAAUACCCCGCUGUUCUGACGGUACCCAAAGAAUAAGCACCGGCCAACUUCGUG
rnacentral:rRNA from 1 species